UGACAGCUGUCUGCCUCUGCAGAACAUGCUGGAUCAGGACGCCCACCAUUACGGACUUAUAUAAGAGCAGGACAAUGACAUGUGUCCAGUAUCAGGUCUGCUUGUUGGAAAAGGAGGGUCCUCCACAACCACACAGCAGCGCAGUUUACAGGACUAAAUCUGACCUCAGCUGAGUGAACAAACAAUCCACAUAACCAGAGAAUAACUGUUUGUGUAAUGUUCAGU
ensembl:lncRNA